rnacentral:rRNA from 1 species
UGGUGGAGUGAUUUGUCUGGUUAAUUCCGUUAACGAACGAGACCUUAGCCUGCUAAAUAGUUACAUGUAAUUUCGGUCACAUGGGCAGCUUCUUAGAGGGACUUCGUGUGUCUAACACGAGGAAGUUUGAGGCGAUAACA